rnacentral:rRNA from 1 species
GACGAACGCUGGCGGCGUGCUAAUACAUGCAAGUCGAACGAGAGCGACCGGUGCUUGCACUGGUCAAUCUAGUGGCGAACGGGUGAGUAACACGUGGGUAACCUGCCCAUCAGAGGGGGAUAACAUUCGGAAACGGAUGCUAAAACCGCAUAGGUCUUCGAACCGCAUGGUUUGAAGAGGAAAAGAGGCGCAAGCUUCUGCUGAUGGAUGGACCCGCGGUGCAUUAGCUAGUUGGUGAGGUAACGGCUCACCAAGGCCGUGAUGCAUAGCCGACCUGAGAGGGUGAUCGGCCACAUUGGGACUGAGACACGGCCCAAACUCCUACGGGAGGCAGCAGUAGGGAAUCUUCCGCAAUGGACGCAAGUCUGACGGAGCAACGCCGCGUGAGUGAAGAAGGUUUUCGGAUCGUAAAACUCUGUUGUUAGAGAAGAACAAGUGCUAGAGUAACUGUUAGCGCC